GCGGAGGAAAAGAAACCAACUGGGAUUGCCUCAGUAACGGCGAGUGAAGCGGCAACAGCUCAAAUUUGAAAUCUGGCGCCUUGGGCGUCCGAGUUGUAAUUUGUAGAGGGAGUCUCGGGUUAAGGGUCGGUCCAAGUGCCUUGGAACAGGAUACCGAAGAGGGUGAGAGUCCCGUAUCCGGCCGACGCCAGCGCCCGUGUGAGGCCCCUUCGACGAGUCGAAUUGUUUGGGAAUGCAGCUCUAAAUGGGUGGUAAAUUCCAUUUAAAGGUAAAUAAUGGCCUGAGACGGAUAGCACACAAGUAGAGUGAUCGAAAGAUGAAAAGCACUUUGAAAAGAGAGUCAAACAGUAAGCGAAAUUGUUGAAAGGGAAGAG
rnacentral:rRNA from 1 species